GACGAGGGGUCCAAGCGUUGUUCGGAAUCAUUGGGCGUAAAGCGGGUGUAGGUGGCUGUGUAAGUCAGGAGUGAAAGCCCCGAGCUUAACUUGGGAAGUGCUUUUGAUACUGCAGAGCUUGAGUGUGGGAGAGGAUCGUGGAAUUCCUGGUGUAGUGGUGAAAUACGUAGAUAUCAGGAGGAACACCGGUGGCGAAGGCGGCGAUCUGGCCCAACACUGACACUGAGGCGCGAAAGCUAGGGGAGCAAACGGG
rnacentral:rRNA from 1 species